rnacentral:rRNA from 1 species
UACGGAGGAUGCAAGCGUUAUCCGGAUUUAUUGGGUUUAAAGGGUACGUAGGCGGGCCUGCAAGUCUGAUUUGAAAGCACAUGGCUUAACCAUGUGAGGUAAUUAGAAACUACGAGUCUAGAGAGUGGUAGAGGUAAAUGGAAUUCCAAGUGGAGCGGUGAAAUGCGUAGAGAUUUGGAGGAACACCAGUGGCGAAGGCGGUUUACUGGGCCACAUCUGACGCUGAUGUACGAAAGCGUGGGGAGCAAACAGGAUUAGAUACCCCGUACGUCCU